rnacentral:rRNA from 1 species
AGCAUCAGUGGGGGAAUAUUGCACAAUGGGCGCAAGCCUGAUGCAGCCAUGCCGCGUGUGUGAAGAAGGCCUUCGGGUUGUAAAGCACUUUCAGUCGUGAGGAAGGUGGUAGUGUUAAUAGCACUAUCAUUUGACGUUAGCGACAGAAGAAGCACCGGCUAACUCCGUGCCAGCAGCCGCGGUAAUACGGAGGGUGCGAGCGUUAAUCGGAAUUACUGGGCGUAAAGCGCAUGCAGGUGGUUUGUUAAGUCAGAUGUGAAAGCCCGGGGCUCAACCUCGGAAUAGCAUUUGAAACUGGCAGACUAGAGUACUGUAGAGGGGGGUAGGAAUUUCAGGUGUAGCGGUGAAAUGCGUAGAGAUCUGAAGGAAUACCGGUGGCGAAGGCGGCCCCCUGGACAGAUACUGACACUCAGAUGCGAAAGCGUGGGGAGCAAACAGGAUUAGAUACCCUGGUAG